rnacentral:rRNA from 1 species
CUUUUGUGGGGUGCUCGAGUGGCGAACGGGUGAGUAACACGUGAGUAACCUGCCCUUGACUUUGGGAUAACUUCAGGAAACUGGGGCUAAUACCGGAUAGGAGCUCCUGCUGCAUGGUGGGGGUUGGAAAGUUUCGGCGGUUGGGGAUGGACUCGCGGCUUAUCAGCUUGUUGGUGGGGUAGUGGCUUACCAAGGCUUUGACGGGUAGCCGACCUGAGGGGGUGACCGGCCACAUUGGGACUGAGACACGGCCCAG